GAUGAACGCUGGCGGCGUGCUUAACACAUGCAAGUCGAACGGGAAACCUUUUAUUGAAGCUUCGGCAGAUUUAGCUGGGUUCUAGGGGCGGACGGGUGAGUAACGCGUGGGUAACCUGCCUUAUACUGGGGGAUAACAACCAGAAAUGGUUGCUAAUACCGCAUAAGCGCACAGGACCGCAUGGUCCGGUGUGAAAAACUCCGGUGGUAUAAGAUGGACCCGCGUUGGAUUAGCGAGGUGGCAGGGUAACGGCCUACCAAGGCGACGAUCCAUAGCCGGCCUGAGAGGGUGACCGGCCACAUUGGGACUGAGACCCGGCCCAGACUCCUACGGGAGGCGGCAGUGGGGAAUAUUGCACAAUGGGGGAAACCCUGAUGCAGCGACGCCGCGUGAAGGAAGAAUUAUCUCGGUAUGUAAACUUCUAUCAGCAGGGCAGAUAGUGACGGUACCUGACUAAGAAGCCCCGGCUAACUACGUG
rnacentral:rRNA from 1 species